CAGCCGCCGCGGUAAUACGGAGGGCGCGAGCGUUGUCCGGAUUCACUGGGCGUAAAGCGGGUGUGGGCGGUCGGGUAAGUCGGACGUGAAAGCCCGGGGCUCAACCCCGGAAGGGCGUCCGAAACUGCUCGACUUGAGGGCGGGAGAGGGAGGUGGAAUUCCCGGUGUAGCGGUGAAAUGCGUAGAGAUGUGGAGGAACACCAGUGGCGAAGGCGGCUCUCUGGCCUGUAACUGACGCUGAGGCGCGAAAGCGUGGGGAGCAAACAGGAUUAGAUCCCCUGGUAGUCCACGCCGUAAACGAUGAGUGCUAAGUGUUAGAGGGGUCACACCCUUUAGUGCUGCAGCUAACGCGAUAAGCACUCCGCCUGGGGAGUACGGCCGCAAGGCUGAAACUUAAAGGAAUUGGCGGG
rnacentral:rRNA from 1 species